rnacentral:siRNA from 1 species
UGGUAGUCGAAUGCUACAUGGU